ACGGUGAACAUUAUCAUUUGCCAUUUGUGUACCGAGCCUUACUGACACACAUACAUAUAUAACAAUAACACUUGUGUAACACUGACGAAUGUUAUGUAAGCAACACUGUGUAUAGAACAAGUUGCAAUGGAGUCCUUGUCUUUAGAAGAGACAGAAUCUGGCGUUUAUGAAGCGACCUACGUAGACAUUCCGUCUUCUGUUCAGUUGCCAAGUCUUCAGCCCGGAACAACAAUCUUUAUUCAUGGCAAAACUGACAAGCAUGCUAAAGAGUACAUUUUUUUUGUUCAUUUCAGACUUUUC
rnacentral:sRNA from 1 species